rnacentral:rRNA from 1 species
UACGUAGGGGGCAAGCGUUGUCCGGAUUUAUUGGGCGUAAAGAGCGUGUAGGCGGUUGGGUAGGUCCGUUGUGAAAACUCGAGGCUCAACCUCGAGACGCCGAUGGAAACCCCCCAGCUAGAGUCCGGAAGAGGAGAGUGGAAUUCCUGGUGUAGCGGUGAAAUGCGCAGAUAUCAGGAGGAACGCCAAUGGCGAAGGCAGCUCGCUGGGACGGUACUGACGCUGAGGCGCGAAAGCGUGGGGAGCAAACAGG